rnacentral:rRNA from 1 species
UGGGGUGCUCGAGUGGCGAACGGGUGAGUAACACGUGAGUAACCUGCCCUUGACUUUGGGAUAACUUCAGGAAACUGGGGCUAAUACCGGAUAGGAGCUCCUGCUGCAUGGUGGGGUUGGAAAGUUUCGGCGGUUGGGGAUGGACUCGCGGCUUAUCAGCUUGUUGGUGGGGUAGUGGCUUACCAAGGCUUUGACGGGUAGCCGGCCUGAGAGGGUGACCGGCCACAUUGGGACUGAGAUACGGCCCAG